rnacentral:rRNA from 1 species
AAAACAUCGCCUCUUGACCCGCUAUAAGAGGUCCAGCCUGCCCAGUGAUAAAAUUCAACGGCCGCGGUAUCCUAACCGUGCAAAGGUAGCACAAUCACUUGUUCUUUAAAUAAGGACUCGUAUCAACGGCACCACGAGGGUUGCACUGUCUCCCCCCUCCAAUCAGUGAAACUGAUCUCCCCGUGAAGAAGCGGGGAUCUACCCAUAAGACGAGAAGACCCCAUGGAGCUUAAAACUACCAGCAACUCAACUACACACCACCCACAACCUACAGAGACCUGCGUGCCAGUUUUCGGUUGGGGCGACCGCGGAGCAAAAAUUAACCUCCACAACGAAAAGAGCUAAAUCUUUAUCCUAGAACCACCCCUCUAAGAAUUAGUACACUAACGAACAAUGACCCGACUAUCGACCAACGAACCAAGUUACCCUGGGGAUAACAGCGCAAUCUACUUCAAGAGCCCCUAUCGACAAGUAGGCUUACGACCUCGAUGUUGGAUCAGGGUACCCCAGUGGUGCAGCCGCUCCUAACGGUUCGU